UCUACGGGAGGCAGCAGUAAGGAAUAUUGCACAAUGGGCGAAAGCCUGAUGCAGCAACGCCGCGUGCAGGACGAAGGCCUUCGGGUCGUAAACUGCUUUGGACCCUGACGAGCAAGGACGGUAGGGGUCGAACAAGUCACGGCUAACUACGUGCCAGCAGCCGCGGUAAAACGUAGGUGACAAGCGUUAUCCGGAUUUACUGGGCGUAAAGGGUGUGCAGGCGGGGGGAUAAGUGGUGUAUGAAAGUGCCCGGCUUAACCGGGCGAGGCUAUGCCAGACUGUCCUUCUGGAGCGCGAGAGAGGAGCGUGGAAUUCCGGGUGUAGUGGUGAAAUGCGUAGAGAUCCGGAGGAACCCCAGGGGCGAAGGCGGCGCUCUGGCUCGCGACUGACGCUCAGACACGACAGCAUGGGGAGCGAACGGGAUUAGAAACCCCGGUAGUCCAUGCCGUAAACGAUGCCGACUAGGCGCUGGUGGUUUGAACGCUGCCGGUGCCGCAGCAAACGCGAUAAGUCGGCCGCCUGGGGAGUACGACCGCAAGGUUAAAACUCAAAGGAAUUGACGGA
rnacentral:rRNA from 1 species